rnacentral:rRNA from 1 species
UACGGAGGGUGCAAGCGUUGUCCGGAAUCACUGGGCAUAAAGGGCGCGUAGGCGGCUCAUGAAGGCUGUGGUGAAAGUCCGGGGCUCAACCUCGGAUCGGCCGUGGCGACUCGUGGGCUGGAGCACUGUAGAGGCGGGUGGAAUUCCGGGUGUAGCGGUGGAAUGCGUAGAGAUCCGGAAGAACACCAGUGGCGAAGGCGGCCCGCUGGGCAGUGGCUGACGCUGAGGCGCGACAGCGUGGGGAGCAAACAGG